UGAAAUAGAGGUACGAAGUGAUUAGCUAAAAUAAAUAUUGAAUUUUGGUGAUUUAAUCCAAACUUAAAAUUUAACCCUUUCAUCUAUCACAAAUUAUGACUCCAAAUUUACCCUUUUUUCUUUAGGGUUUUGUGGCCGCUCCAUUGACAGCUGCUGGUCUGGAUGCUUGGAUGCUGGACAAAAGUUAGGGUGUCGAGCUGAGGAGAAAGCCGAAGCAAAAUGUCAAGAAUGUACACAAGUUUGGUUGACGGAAAAGAAGGUCUUCCAGCUAUACGUGAGUAACACUCACGUCGACGAGGUGCAAAGUUUUCAAGGUUUUGCCACAAGUUGUUUUAUUUACUUGUUGAUUCCAGUGACGACUUUCAAUGCAAGGAUGUUCAAGAUUCAAUGCUACGAUAUCAAAUCAUCGUGAUUCAAGAAGACAAAGUAGCCAAACUAUCUUCAGUUGCAAUAAAGGUUAUGCAAUUUGCAAAUUAGCUAGUCCAUGACAACAAGAUACCCUUAAAUCCUUUAUACCAAUGCAGUUUGCACAUAAAGCUUGAACAAAUUGCUCAUCCAAGACAUAACUUUCGCAAAUAUGAAAAAUUUAUGCCAAGAUCAGGGGCAAUCCAUGCUUAAAUCCGCAUAUUAGUCCUUGAGCAGUAAAGAUUUCUUCAAGCAAGAUGUUGAAAUCGUCAACAUGUCCAUAUACUUUUAAAAUCAACUCCUUGAUGGUACUCACGACGAGGGUCUCAAUCCAAUUAUGAACAUUAGAGAUGAUGAAUUGAUAGGAUGGAAACUUAGCCAAAACUUUUUUUAUAGAAACCUUUUGCUUUUUGUCGAUGGGCUAGGAUUUGAUCGACAAUAUUCACAAGUUUUGGUUUUCUUUUUCUGAAAGUUCCAACAGUUAUCCACUUCAUGAUAGAAGUUUUAUCGCCAAAAUUAAGUUGCAGAGGGAGUUCCAAGUAGUAUACCAUAUCUUGGACAAAGUACUCAUUUGUGCAGCAUAUUUCGCGAGGAGUAAACAUAGAAAAUGCUGCAAAUUUGGCUCUGACAACAAUUUUGAUAUUUGAUCAUUUACUGCAUCAACUCUUUUAUCUUCCAUCACUCACAAAGAUGUUUAUGAUUUUUUCCCCAAAAAUCAUGGAAAGAUAGCUUGUAUGUUGUCUGCAUUAUGCUUCUUGAAAUGAACUAUUCCGAUUUUAAGUCUCUAUCUUUCGAAAUUACUGUUCUGAUACAUUUCAUGUAUGUGAUGUUUACUUAUAUUUAUAACAAAUUAACAACUUUGCUU